rnacentral:rRNA from 1 species
UAAGGUUUCCUGGGGAAGGCUCGUCCUCCCAGGGUUAGUCAGGACCUAAGCUGAGGCCGAUAGGCGUAGGCGAUGGACAACAGGUUGAUAUUCCUGUACCAGUUGCUUUUGUUUGAGCGAUGGAGGGACGCAGGAGGCUAAGGAAUGCACACGAUCGGAAAUGUGUGUCCAAGCAGCAAGUCUGAGAACGAGUGAAAUGCUUUUUCUCUCAAGGACAAGCUGUGAUGGGGAGCGAAAUUUAGUAGCGAAGUUCCUGAUGUCACACUGCCAAGAAAAGCUUCUAGUGAGAAAGUAACUGCCCGUACCGCAAACCGACACAGGUAGUUGAGGAGAGAAUCCUAAGGUGUGCGAGAGAACUCUCGUUAAGGAACUCGGCAAAAUGACCCCGUAACUUCGGGAGAAGGGGUGCUGACCGCAAGGUCAGCCGCAGUGAAUAGGCCCAAGCGACUGUUUAUCAAAAACACAGGUCUCUGCAAAAUCGAAAGAUGACGUAUAGGGGCUGACGCCUGCCCGGUGCUGGAAGGUUAAGAGGAGAGGUUAGCGCAAGCGAAGCUUUGAAUUGAAGCCCCAGUAAACGGCGGCCGUAACAAUAACGGUCCUAAGGUAGCGAAAUUCCUUGUCGGGUAAGUUCCGACCCGCACGAAAGGCGUAACGAUUUGGGCACUGUCUCAACGAGAGACUCGGUGAAAUUAUAGUACCAGUGAAGAUGCUGGUUACCCGCGACAGGACGGAAAGACCCCAUGGAGCUUUACUGCAGUUUGAUAUUGCGUGUUUGUAUCACAUGUACAGGAUAGGUAGGAGCCGAAGAUACCGGGACGCCAGUCUCGGAGGAGGCAACGGUGGGAUACUACCCUUGUGAUAUGACCACUCUAACCCGCUGCUCUUAGCGAGCAGGGAGACAGUGUCAGACGGGCAGUUUGACUGGGGCGGUCGCCUCCAAAAAUGUAACGGAGGCGCCCAAAGGUUCCCUCAGAAUGGUUGGAAAUCAUUCGUAGAGUGUAAAGGCAGAAGGGAGCUUGACUGCGAGACCUACAAGUCGAGCAGGGACGAAAGUCGGGCUUAGUGAUCCGGUGGUUCCGCAUGGAAGGGCCAUCGCUCAACGGAUAAAAGCUACCCUGGGGGUAACAGGCUUAUCUCCCCCAAGAGUUCACAUCGACGGGGAGGUUUGGCACCUCGAUGUCGGCUCAUCGCAUCCUGGGGCUGUAGUCGGUCCCAAGGGUUGGGCUGUUCGCCCAUUAAAGCGGUACGCGAGCUGGGCUCAGAACGUCGUGAGACAGUUCGGUCCCUAUCCGUCGCGGGCGUUGGAAAUUUGAGAGGAGCUGUCCUUAGUACGAGAGGACCGGGAUGGACACACCGCUGGUGUACCAGUUGUUCUGCCAAGAGCAUCGCUGGGUAGCUAUGUGUGGACGGGAUAAACGCUGAAAGCAUCUAAGCGUGAAGCCCCCCUCAAGAUGAGAUUUCCCAUCACUUUAAGUGAGUAAGACCCUUGAGAGAUGAUCAG